AGAGUUUGAUCCUGGCUCAGAGCGAACGCUGGCGGCGUGCUUAACACAUGCAAGUCGAACGCGCAGCAUUCUGUAGCAAUACAGGGUGUGGGCGCGUGGCGAACGGGUGCGUAACACGUGGAUAACCUUCCUUCAGGUGGGGAAUAACCCAGUGAAAAUUGGGCUAAUACCGCAUAACAUGACGAUGGCACAUGCUGUUGUCUUCAAAGGCGCAAGUCGCCAGAAGAGGGAUCCGCGGCCGAUUAGCUUGUUGGCGAGGUAAUGGCUCACCAAGGCAUUGAUCGGUAGCCGGACUGAGAGGUUGGCCGGCCACACUGGAACUGAGACACGGUCCAGACUCCUACGGGAGGCAGCAGUGGGGAAUCUUGCACAAUGGACGAAAGUCUGAUGCAGCAACGCCGCGUGGGGGAUGAAGCUUCUCGGAGUGUAAACCCCUUUCGACCCGGAAGAAUGCCCGCAAGGGUUUGACGGUACGGGUAUAAGAAGCCCCGGCUAACUACGUGCCAGCAGCCGCGGUAAUACGUAGGGGGCCAGCGUUGCUCGGAAUUACUGGGCGUAAAGGGUCCGUAGGCGGUGCGGCAAGUCGAUAGUGAAAUCCCUAGGCUUAACCUAGGGGCUGCUAGCGAAACUGCCGUGCUAGAGUGUGAGAGAGGCGAGUGGAAUUACGGGUGUAGCGGUGAAAUGCGUAGAUAUCCGUAGGAACAUCCGAGGCGAAAGCGGCUCGCUGGAUCACAACUGACGCUGAGGGACGAAAGCUAGGGGAGCAAACAGGAUUAGAUACCCUGGUAGUCCUAGCCCUAAACCAUCAGGACUUGGGGUUUGCCCUGUACGGGGCAAGUCCCGUAGCUAACGCGUUAAGUCCUGCGCCUGGGGAGUACGGUCGCAAGGCUGAAACUCAAAGGAAUUGACGGGGGCCCGCACAAGCGGUGGAACAUGUGGUUCAAUUCGACGCAACGCGAAGAACCUUACCUGGGCUUGAACCGCACAGGACCAUCUUUGGAAACAGAGACUUCCCGCAAGGGACCUGUGUAGAGGUGCUGCAUGGCUGUCGUCAGCUCGU
rnacentral:rRNA from 1 species